CGACCUGCUUCUGGGUCGGGGUUUCGUAC
rnacentral:piRNA from 5 species